UACAGAGGUCCCAAGCAAUGUUCGGAUUCACUGGGCGUAAAGGAUGCGUAGGUGGCCAGGUAAGUUUGGUGUGAAAGCUCGGAGCUCAACUCCGAAAAGGCAUUGAAUACUAUCUGGAUGGAGGGUCGGAGGGGAGACUGGAAUUCUCGGUGUUGCAGUGAAAUGCGUAGAUAUCGAGAGCAACACCAGUGGCGAAGGCGAGUCUCUGAACGACACCUGACACUGAGGCACGAAAGCCAGGGGAGCAAACAGG
rnacentral:rRNA from 1 species